GUGCCAGCAGCCGCGGUAAUACGUAGGGUGCGAGCGUUAAUCGGAAUUACUGGGCGUAAAGCGCGCGCAGGCGGUUAUGUAAGACAGAUGUGAAAUCCCCGGGCUCAACCUGGGAACUGCAUUAGUGACUGCAUAGCUGGAGUACGGCAGAGGGGGAUGGAAUUCCGCGUGUAGCAGUGAAAUGCGUAGAUAUGCGGAGGAACACCGAUGGCGAGGCAAUCCCCUGGGCCUGUACUGGCGCUCAUGCACGAAAGCGUGGGGAGCAAACAGGAUUAGAAACCCCGGUAGUCC
rnacentral:rRNA from 1 species